rnacentral:tRNA from 1 species
AGGGCAGUAGCUCCGUGGUAGAGCCCCGGCUUCGCAUGCUGGGAGACCUGGGUUCGAUUCCCGGCUGCUUUC